GAGUAGUAUAUGUUAUUGUCUUAAAACUCAAAAAAUUUGGCGGUAUUUUAUCUUACUAGAGGAAUCUGUUUAUUAAUUGAUAAUCCACAACUUUAUUUACUUUUAUUAUUUAAUUUGUAUACCGUUGUCAUGAAUAUAUUAAAAAAUAACUUUAUUUUUUAUUAAAUUUAUGUUAGAUCAAGGUGCAGUUUUUAAAGAUUAAAAUGGAUUACUUUAAUUAGAAUGAAUAAAAUAGGAUUUAGUAGUAAAGUUAAAAAAGUGUUAACAUGAACUUAGAUUCUAAAAUAUG
rnacentral:rRNA from 1 species